UCUCCUCUUCGUCCUCUUCUUCUUCUUCUUCUUCUUCUUCUCCCUCUUCUACUUCUUCUUCGGGGUCGACUUUCGAUCGCCACUUUCAGGGGGGAAACGGACUCUCGCAACCGCGACCCACUUGCUUUUCUUUCCGAUUUUAUAUGUACUCCGGAGGUUCACGGAAACGAACUGGACUCUGAUCUCGAGACGCUUUCGGAGAGGACGACGCACAGUGUUCCUUCGAUUUUACACGGGGAUUCCCUCCCGGACAGGUGAACCUUUACCGCGGGACAUGCUGGCUUCCUGAUUUCCCGGUGUCGGGUUUCCUGGACGUCAAUCACGCGGAACAGGAACAAAUGACUAUUCAUCGAUCACGGGAAUGAUUUCGCAUAACAAACAGCCCCGUGGCACGGCCGGUCAAUCAGUCGAUUGGCGAGCGAGCGUGUAUCGAGCGGUGAUCCUUCGGAUCCUCGGUUUCAGGACUCACCAGGCGGACUCGAGGGUUCGCGAGGCCCGGUCGGCAAUGAUCGACGGGAUUCGAGACCGAUGGAUUAUGUUUAAGUAAUCAGUGAUAAUAAUCAUAGUUCCAUGCACAUCCGAAUUACCAAAGGUACUAGGCGAUAGUUUAUCUCGCUAGCGCGAGCUGGGUAUUUGUGCGGAAAACAAGAGCCACCAUUAGGGACUCCUCGGAGAGGGGACUCGCUGCGCUUUCGUAUCAGUUGAUUGGAUUGCGGAUCUUUACGCGAAAUCGCCUGCGAUCGGCAGUCGAUCGUUGGAUCGUUCGGAGAGCUGUUUCGUUCUUUCGCGAGAAAACGGAAGACGAUCUUUUUUAACGAUCACAGUAAGAAAAGAAGUAACACUUGUCACAUUCUUCUGGCAGCGUUGAGAUCUGCUUUGAGUUCAGUGCUUUUUUAACACCGUUGCGAAGUGCAAUUUUUUUUUGAGAAAUGAAAUAACUGUCCGAACUAUUUAAUAGACUAUAGAAUAUUUCUUUCCUGUUUCAAUCAUUUAUUCGUCCGAAUUCUUUCUUGAUCUUACUAUUGUUUGGAAUCGCAUCCGGUCCCUUUUGUUCCGAAUGCAUAAAAUCCGCAGUCUAAUUAUGAAAUUGCGCGGCAUUCCUCGGCUCGCGAAGUUGCUGGACCGUUUCGCGCGAGUCUGCCUGUUUUUUCUCCCCCUAAAGAACAACUUUCCCGAAAGAUUGCGAAUAAUCGGAAAACAUGAUUUUAUACCAUUUUAUGAACGUCGGCGUUGAUUCUUUGAUUAGAACUAUAGUGCUACGAUGUUUCGUUUGUUUACCUGGAAAUGUAAAUAAAUCAGAGACACGAGAUCAUGGGAUUUUCUAUGAAACGGAGAGAUGCAUCUAUACAUAUAUGCAUAUAAGCAUAGAAUGCAUGAACAGAUUAAAAAAAAUAAUUUUAUUAUUCAACACGGGAAUAUUUAUUAUUCGCGCGAUACCUAGAAAUAUCUACUAAAUACCUAGAAAUAAAAUAGGCGGAGUUUGCCUAGGUGUGUGUGUGUGUGUGUGUGUGUGUGUGCGUGCGCGCGAUUGCAAUUAAUUCGAUUAGAAUCGCGCCAAUCGGCCUCGACUUCGCGAGCUGCUUCUCUUCCUUUUUAGCCGAACCGAUGUAAUAGAGACUUUUUGAUAUCGAACGAUCAUUCACGGCUAGAAUCGCGAAUGAACAGGUGACGUGUCUUAAAACGGCGUUCCUCUCCUCGUGCCAAAACGUAGCUAAGAUACGAGUUUUUUCUACGGUGCCGCGCGAAUCCAAAGUGACCACGGACAUACAAAUUCCGGUGUUGAAUUUGUUGUAGAAUCAUUCGUCGCCCGCUAAUCGAACCGCAGGAAAACGAGAAAGUCGUUUGACGUCGUCGGUUCUUUUUGGAAAUGAUGAUUUUCUCUGUGUCGGGGAAAAAGAAAACGUCUGACAGGCAUGGAACGUCAAACCAUGAAAUUUGUAAAUUGCCACUUUGUAAAUUGUCUACGUGAAAUUGUAAAGUCAUUGUGUAUUAACGAACCUUCAAUAUCCGAAGUAUAUUUUUAAUUGAAACGGUGAACCGUGUAUAAUGCAUCGAACGGACUGCAUACAUAGUUACGUCUGUUCUGUUAAAAAUGUUAAUAGUUUAUAGACAGGCGGUAGAACUGAUUGAUUUCCGGUUGAUCGAGCAUGGUCCACGAUCUUUGGAUUCGAUCGGCACGAAAUCACACUCAUUCGACCACAGACGACACGGUAUGUACAUUAGUGAGAACGAAAAUUAGCGGAGAACACGAGCUCGCAGCAUUUUUAGCAGAUCCAGGCGACACGUAAGGUAUAAUUGCGAAUACGGCUUCGGGACACGAAGUUUUUCAAUCGCGGAUCGACGCGUGGCGAAGUGUCGGACACCGAAAUGCCAUUUUUUCCUUUCUAAUUAAGCGACUAAUUGAAAUUCUCGAGAACAAGAAGCGUACGCCGCGAAACGAGAAUUCCUAAUUGCGGAGCGAAAAAAGAAAACUAUGACUAUUAAUUGGCCCGUGCGUUAUGAUCGCGCGAGACGGUUACACUUGCCGAUCCAAGCCGGCCAAGAUGGCCGCCGCUCCGGCGAAUUUCAAAUCCGUAUAAUUGAUCGCGCAAUGAAAUUCCCGCGAACAGGAUCUCGUCGAUUGAGACGCGUUUCUUCUCUUCUCUUUCCCGUUUCUUUCGUCGAAAUUGCUUUCGGCUAAUUUUCACCAGAUUUUCCGACACAGAGCCAGAGAGUCGGGGGUCAUAGUUUGCAUAGUUGGAGAAAAUGGCAGCAGCAGUCGCAUGUUAGGCAUGUGUAGCAUAGCGAUGAUAUCAUGUACGUCGGCGUCUUAAAGUGCGUGAACCAAUUAUGUAAAACUGUAUAGAUGAAUUAAUGUGCUGCAAUCGAGUGCGACUAAUUAUCGUAUAAUAAAUAGUUACGUACAUCUGGACCUUUCGAAACGGCA